GAACUGUGAUGAGUCUUAUCCCGAACCUGACCUGGUCUGAUGACAAAAAUAUGGAUCUGACUGCUGAGUU
rnacentral:snoRNA from 1 species